rnacentral:rRNA from 1 species
GAUGAACGCUGGCGGCGUGCCUAAUACAUGCAAGUCGAGCGAACAGAUGAUGAGCUUGCUCCUCUGACGUUAGCGGCGGACGGGUGAGUAACACGUGGAUAACCUACCUAUAAGACUGGGAUAACUUCGUGAAACCGGAGCUGAUACCGGAUAAUAUAUUGAACCGCAUGGUUCAAUAGUGAAAGACGGUUUUGCUGUCACUUAUAGAUGGAUCCGCGCUGCAUUAGCUAGUUGGUAAGGUAACGGCUUACCAAGGCAACGAUGCGUAGCCGACCUGAGAGGGUGAUCGGCCACACUGGAACUGAGACACGGUCCAGACUCCUACGGGAGGCAGCAGUAGGGAAUCUUCCGCAAUGGGCGAAAGCCUGACGGAGCAACGCCGCGUGAGUGAUGAAGGUCUUCGGAUCGUAAAACUCUGUUAUUAGGGAAGAACAACUGUGUAAGUAACUAUGCACGUCUUGACGGUACCCAAUCAGAAAGCAACGGCUAACUACGUG